UUAUUGUUUUUGUAUAUAGUUAUACAACAAAAGUGUAACAACCAGGUUCCAGAAAUAAUCACUGAGGGUGCUUCUGAAAUUAGUGAGGGUCCUCUAGUCUUAAUGCACAUUUUCAUAUAUUUUGUCCUGUCUAUUGCUGCGGUUAUAUCACCAUGUCAAACACUGCUACUUCGAGACAGAAUCACGCAUAAAUAUGCAGAUGUCAUUCCUGAAACUGAAAAACAAAGUUCUACAUUUUAAAUUGGAUUCAAAAUUUGAUUUUAAUUAUUUCUAGGAUUGCCUAGAAAUAAUAAUAACUCAUAAUAACCACUAAAAAGCUGUCACUCUUUGUUCAUCGUCAUCUCACAAAGUUCUGUUACCAAUGAAUCUCACACUGCACAAUUAAUAUAUUAUUCAUUAUUAACAUCAUGUCUUACACUCUGCCUCUACUUAUAUAUAUACACAACCUUUUUUUUAAAAUCAGCAUUACUUUGUCUUGUGCUUCUGCUCUUCUCUGGCUUUCUUAGCCAACUUUUUGGCUUGAUAGAAGACUGUUACAGUAUUUCACAAUUGCUAAAACACUAAACCCCAUUCUCUGAACCCAAUGCUCAGUGGCCUAAACCCAUUUGUCGAAUCAGCCACUUUGUAGGCAAACAAGUUCAGGUAGUUAAGACACGGUUUGCAAAUCUCAUCCACUCUUUUUGCAAAACUCUAAACACAUUCUUACACACUAAAACACAUUUUGCACUGUGUUGCAAAAUGGUAAAUACAUGUGGCAAAAGUUAAACACAACUACAACACAGCUGUCAUCGUUUACACACAACAACUCAAAAUUGUUCACACUUGUUUCUAAUGAUGUGAUCAAAUCAGUUGUCUAGAAUAUAAGCCAGUACAGGUGGCCCAGGUACGUUGAGUGUUGAUACCACAAUGGAUGGAAACAAUGUGAGAGGCAGAGGAGGAAGAGGAGGAAGAGUUCGUGUAAGAGGUGGUGGACGAGGAGGAAGAGUUCAAGGACAACGAAGAGCAAGACCAAGAAUAGUAAUUUCAGAUCAAAUUUCGGGCAACUGUGAUAGACCAUGUUCUUGUUCAUGGAAUGACAAUGAGGGAAGCAGGACAAAGAGUACAACCCAAUUUGUCCAGAUUCUCUGUGGCCACCAUAAUCAGGACAUUCAGAGAAGAGAACAGAAUUCCAAGACUACCAAAUGAAGGUGGAAGGACUCCUUUGUUCUCCCAACAGCAAGAGGCUCUCAUUGUUGAUAUGGUCCGUCAAAACAAUGUCAUCCGACUGCGUGAAAUACAGCAAAGACUUGUAGAAGACAAUGUAAACUUUGAAGGUAUCCACAGUGUCAGCCUUUCUACCAUUUCCCGUGUCCUCCAUCGCAACAGGGUAAGCAUGAAGCAAGUGUACAGAGUACCCUUUGAGCCCAAUUCAGAAAGGGUCAAAGAUCUACGAUAUCAGUAUGUGCAAGUAAGUGUACACUUUCAGCACUGAGGCUCCACCGUCAUGCAACCCUGGGGCCAUAUAACACUGACCAUCUUCUUACAUUUCUGGGUGGUCUUCGGGAUGUUUUGUUUGAACGUGAGCAGCAGGAUCAUCAGCAGGGAGUGAUUCGUGAAUGUUUGCCUUCCACCAUACAGCCCUUUCCUCAAUCCAAUAGAAGAGUUUUUCUCUGCGUGGCGAUGGAAGGUCUAUGACUGUAACCCAUAUACAAGGGUAAAUCUUUUACAGGCAAUGGAAUUGGCCUGUGAUGACAUAGGUGUGGAGUGUUGUCAAGGCUGGAGCCGGCACACGAGAGGGUUUUUCCCCAUUGCCUAGGAAGGGAUAACAUUGCAUGUGAUGUGGACGAAGUCCUCUGGCCGGACCCAGCACGAAGACGGGAUGCUGAGGCAGAAUGAGUCUCUCAUUGACUUUGAUUUUGCAAUUGCACAAUAUUUUGUGUAAUACGCUUUUCAUUUAGAGUUGUCUUUGUUCUUUGGGCUUACUUUAUUUUCAUGCUGAAAAUGCAGAAAUUCAAUACUGUAUUACUUGCAGUACUUACAGUAUGCAAUAUAUUUGCUGUACUGAGUUGUGAAUUAUUUACUUUUAUUUAUGGCAAAAUUAUUUUCUAUAUGCAAUAAAAAAAAUUUCUCUGUAACUACAUGCCCUGGAUGCUGUGUUGUCAUUUUUCUGAUGUAGUGUCUAAUGAAUGCUGAUGAGUGUUUAUAUAUUGACUGGCUGUGUUUAUGUUUUGAAAGUGUUACGUCCUCUGGACUUAAUUGUUUAUUAUCUGUCUUUGUUGUGGUGAUGUUUGUUGUGCAGUUUCCCUCCUUUCUCUCUCUAUCUCUUUUCCUCUGCGCAGUGUUAAUUGGAUGCAGCUGCAGGUGAUUAUGUGGAGGAUGGAGCAUGCUUAAAAGCUGAGGAGGAUGGCACUGAGGGAGGCGCGUCGGUCAUUCGACGUGUGGGUUGUCGGUUGAUGUGGUUCGGCGUUGUGAGCUCGCUGUGUAUGCGCGUUGCAGAGCUCCACGGUAUUGGCCGCUGCCGUUCUGCCCGCCGUCUCCUGCCCCAGACAUUCAUCGCACUGGUUGUCCUGAUGGUGGUUGCCGUUCGAGUGAGAGUUCUUUGUUCUUAUGUUUGCUUUAAUGUAAUCUUUUGUUUGUUUUGGAAGCCAUAGGGAGGAGGUUGCCAUUUGCUUUAUGAUCCCUUGUUUUCUCCUGUUUUUGGACAGCUAGGGAGUAAAGGGGUGACUGAUGUAUUUUGUUUUGGGUUUUGGUUUUGUUAGGUAAGUUAAUGUUUAAUCAUGUCUUAGUUAGUUCCUCUUUUGUUUGUUAUUUUGGCCAUAACCCCUCCUGAAGAUUCACGCUUCCUGUUAUAUGUUACUUUGUGAAUUAAAAGCUUUCUCUCUUAAGUAUACUCUCCCUCCGUUGUGUUUGUGUCAGCUGGGACAGGAGAGGGGCGGGCAUAGUCUCUAAAUUCUUUAUUUGAACUUUGUCCGGAAUCCCCGACCCUAGACUGGGGGGAGGACGUGACAAAAGCAUUGUUUGAUUUUGAGCACAGAUCAAAUGGUUUUGAGGCAAAUGUUUGAUUUUGCCAGAAGAGUCAGGGGUUUUGUGAAUGUAGUUUAAAGACUGGGUUUUGUGUUUAAAGUUUUGAGAAUAUGGGCGACGGUUUCAAGAAAUGUGUUUUAGCAAUUGUGAAAUACUGUAAUACAGUUUUGAGUACAAGACAAAACACUGAUUUUGGAUACCAGAAAAACACUUGCUGUUAAUGGGUUUUAGGUAUUAAACUGAGUAGUUGUUCAGAUGCCAGACAAAAUCUAUAUUUUCUGAAAGGAUCUGGUAUCAGGGUCUGGAUCAAAUAAGCAAUUUCUGGCAUGGAGACUUGUACUAACAAAAGCUUGUGCAAUGUUGAUGCAAUAAUUUAGACCAGAUUGCUUUAAAUUUGUCCCUAUAGAUGCAGAGUCAUUUCAGAUGUUUUACUGACAGAUCGAAAGUCAUAGUAAAGGUAUUAUUUGUUAUGACUUGGCUACUCCCAUAGAGUUCUCUGCUUUUGAUAAUUUCAGUCCAGAUGUAGGCCUGUAAUGGGAAAUUAAAUUUGUGAAAAGACAACAUGAAAUCUCUUUGUGUGAUUAGGGAUUCCUCAAUGGAAUUUUAAUAGUAACCAAAACAACAACAAAAACAAAUCAAAUCACACUGUGGAAAAGAUUGUUUUGCAUCCAAAAGCAAUGCUUCUGUUUUCAUGUUUAAAUCCUGAAACUUUGAUUCUGGGCAACUGAAGAAAUAUCUAAAAUAUUUCCCAAUAAAUAAAAAAAACACACACAAAAAAAAAA